CGUAGACCUCAAGCGUUAUCCGGAUUAUUGGGCGUAAAGCGCAUGUAGGAGGUUCGGUGCGUCCUUGGUUAAAGCCCACCGCCUAACGGUGGAAGUGCCGGGGAUACGAUCGAACUGGAGGAUGUGAGAGGUGCAUGGAACUCACGGUGUAGGGGUGAAAUCCGUUGAUAUCGUGGGGAACACCAAAGGCGAAGGCAGUGCACUGGUACAUUCCUGACUCUGAGAUGCGAAAGCGUGGGGAGCAAAAAGGAUUAGAUACCCUUGUAGUCCACGCCCUAAACGAUGCAGGUUUGCUGUUUCGAGUAUCGACCCUCGGAGUGGCGGAGCUAACGCGUUAAACCUGCCGCCUGGGAAGUACGAGCGCAAGCUUA
rnacentral:rRNA from 1 species